rnacentral:rRNA from 1 species
CCUACGGGGGGCAGCAGUGAGGAAUAUUGGUCAAUGGACGAGAGUCUGAACCAGCCAAGUAGCGUGAAGGAUGACUGCCCUAUGGGUUGUAAACUUCUUUUAUAUGGGAAUAAAACGUUCCACGUGUGGGAUUUUGUAUGUACCAUCUGAAUAAGGAUCGGCUAACUCCGUGCCAGCAGCCGCGGUAAUACGGAGGAUCCGAGCGUUAUCCGGAUUUAUUGGGUUUAAAGGGAGCGUAGGUGGAUUGUUAAGUCAGUUGUGAAAGUUUGCGGCUCAACCGUAAAAUUGCAGUUGAAACUGGCAGUCUUGAGUACAGUAGAGGUGGGCGGAAUUCGUGGUGUAGCGGUGAAAUGCUUAGAUAUCACGAAGAACUCCGAUUGCGAAGGCAGUUCACUGGACUGCAACUGACACUGAGGCUCGAAAGUGUGGGUAUCAAACAGGAUUAGAUACCCCAGUAGUC